rnacentral:tRNA from 1 species
UUUCUCGUAGUUUAGUAGUAACGAGGACCUGGCUAGUGAGUAGGAGUCGUGAGUUCGAAUCUCACUGAGAAGA